CGCACUAGUUGGGGAGAUAGCGGUGCCCUGUACCUGCAACCCGCUACAGCAGGGAUGAAUCCCGGCCCCCGGAGCUUCACUGUGCCGUCUGCCCCAGGUAAGUGGCGAUGAGAGAUCGGUCCCGCGCAACGGGAACCCGUGAACCGUGUCAGGCGGGGAACCGAGCAGCACUAAGCGGAUCCUCCCGUGUGCCGCGGGGCGGCCGUUCUUGAGCAAACUGCCUGGGUCACGGGCAUAGUGGAGUAUUCA
rnacentral:SRP_RNA from 1 species